UAAUGUAGCAAACUCCUGCAAAUGUCAGGAGGCGGUUGUACAAGGCAGGAUGCCACUUACUUACCUGCCUGAGUCAGCUGCGUGGAGAUGAGUCGAACAGCAAAGUGCACUGCCUUCCUUCCCUGCAAUACUGCUACAUGCAAAUUGUGCAUUCAAGGGAUUCAUCCCAGGAGAGCGUGGUGCACAGCAGUCAACAGCUCUGGCAGUGCUGCAGCUGAAUAAGCAUGAGCCUGGGGUGCUUCCUAACCUCUGUAGCGAUUUCAGCAAAAAUGUAUGACUUACCAACACCAGGCUUCAGCUUCUCUGUGUGUAAUGACUUCAAACAAUGUGCAUUUGCAGGAGGCUUCAACGAAGCAGAGCUUGCCACUACUCACUGCAGAAUUUCUGUCACUGGGAGAAGUUAUUAUAUUCACACAGGGAAAGACAUUAGCUUAAAGGUUGAUGUUUUUGUUUGUUUGCAAGUCAAGGGUGGAAAUUUUCAAAGCAGCGCAGCGGACCGAAUUAACUGUCUCCCAUUACUGGAAUGUGAAUGUGAAGUUGCUGAAAGCAGCCAAAGUACUGAGAGUUGGGAAAUCUGCAGUCCAUUGGCUGCACUAACACUGAGAAACAUCUGCACCGCCGGUCCUCUCUGUCCUGCUGGCUACUCUUAAUAAUUUAGAGCAGAGCUAACGCUAGGCACAGUUGGGUUUUUUGUUUUUUUCUUUCUCUUAUAUUAGCAUUUUACUAGUGAUUUGUACAGACAAGUUAACGGUUCCAAGUGAAUUUUAGAAUGCAAGAUAUCCUUUUGGUGAUUUUUCAGGUGCUAGCAAUGCUUUGUGAAGAUUACAAAAUAGCCUUGCUAUUUCAUCAAUCAGUGUAAAAUGCUCCUUGUGAUCACUUUGAAUGCAGAUGAAACGUUUUCUCAAGCGGUUCAAGAUAUUAACAAGUGCAACGUAUUGGUGCAUUAAACAUAAAGUACUGAGAAGCACAAUGUAGUGCCAAAGUCAGUUUGCAUGCUUGAUGGCUACAGUGGAGAUCAGGCUGGGGAUAGCGCUGCACGUAGGGACUUUGGGAAUUUUUUUCUCCAAGAAAAGAUCAAGCAAGUAGAAGACUGUAUCUUUUUUUCUGAUUGUAACAACUUGUAUUAUAUGCUUAUAGACUUUAUAUGUUGGAAAGUGAGGUCAUUUGUCACAGACUGAAACACAUGCAAUGAAUAACAAAAUGCAUGCAUCUCAAAGUAACAUGAUGUUCUAAAAUUUAUGAAAUGUUUCUUAUAAAUCACAUAGGGAUGCAUAUCAUCCAUUAGAGGGCAGGAUUCUCAGAGCUUUUAAUCCACAAUUGGGCACUUAUUUUCUUUUUGCUUGGAACAAGCCAUUUGACUUUUCCAUAGAGUUAUUUUCUCUGUUACGUUUUCUUCCAUGACCAUAGUGCUGUAAGGGCUGCUCAGAGAUGGUAUGUGCACUUAAUUAGGGAAGGAAGGUUUCAGAGAAGAUGGGUGCCAAGUGCAGCUGUUUGUACGCUGCGUAUCAGAGCCUGGUGAUGCCAACAGUGUGAUGCUUUGAGUGUAUCACCUACAUCACUUAGUGGUUUGGAAAUGUGCUAAAUCUGUUAGGGGAAUGUUAGGAGCCAUUGCAUCCCUUAGAUUUGAUGGUCAGUCAAGCAGUGGUCUGUGCUAUGAAGACAAAACUGGCAGAGACUUUGUGCAACUGCUUUUGGUAACUGAAAGUUGGAGGCAGAGUUACUGACUGGGAUGUCCCCCUGGGGUGUCAAUGAGAGAAAACAAGACAUGUUUCAUACAGAAACUAUGGUGUGAAAUAACCAUGGAAACAGUAUAAUUUGAGCCUGCCAGGUGGUGAGAACAGGCUUUCUUCCCAUCAUCUCCCAUUAUCACAGCUCCUAUGCAGUGGGAGGAAAGCGAGGAUCAGACAGCUGGACAACAGCCGGGUGUGAAAGAGCUCAGCUCUGCCAGGCAAGGAAAGGCCUCCUUGGUGAGGCCAUUGCUUCUGCACCAAGACUGUGAUUUGGGCCAUGCCCAGAGGAUCGUGACUGCUUUUCCAGCAGUAGAGGGAGGGUGUGGAAUUGCAUGGCUUGGGGAUGCUUAGUAUUCUCUCUGUGCUUGCCAACCAUGGCUUAUCCAAAACCUGUGGGAACGAGUGCUGAAAGGGGCAAAACUCAUCUGAAUAUUCUGGGCAUUACAAGAUGAGCAGGAAGGGUUCCAUGGCUCAUUUGCACAGUCCUCCUAAUAUAGUGCAUAAUCAAGAGACCUGAGGAUCUCCUCACCCAUUCGCUGACAAAGAGCUCCUGACCCCUUCAUUAAAGUGAUGGAACGAGAGCUGCAAUCAAUUACAGAAGUGCUAAAGGCAAUGAAAAUUAGUUCCACUGGGAAUUUGCCUACAAAUUUUCUUUUGCCUGCAAAAAUCAGAUUACAACAUAAAAUCCCUGAUGAGAGAGGGAAUUGAAUCAGAAGACCAAGGCAUUCAUUGUAUGGAAAAUAAACAUUUAAAAAUGAAAUAACA
ensembl:lncRNA